ensembl:lncRNA
CCCUUCAGUGCGACAGCCUCAGAGCCCGUGGAGAGGCAGAGCGCAGGCAGCUGGAUAAAUUCGCAGACGUGGAAUUCCUGGAUCAAAUGGAGGAGGAUGAAGAUGGAGAGUCAGUAGGAACGGGGAAGAGGGCUUCUUGCCAUGGAACAUUUGCCACCUAGUGACCAUUCUGAGAGACAGGCGCAGCCCGAGAAUGAUGAUCUGAAAAGCUGCGGACACUGUUCUUUCUUGGUUGACCCUUUGUGCAUUUUUGGCCACACUCCACAAGUAUGGCUGCAUUUAGCAGGUGGUGAUACUUGUUCUCGUCUUCUCAGCCUGGCAGCCUGCCCUUGACUCCUGAGUUCUGUGAGCCCUUCAAAACUGCAAGUCAUUCUCAAAAGAAAUUUGGGUUUACCUAGUGUGCACCUUUGAGAGUUUGGGAACAGUAUGCAAAUUCAAGUUACCCUCAUGUUUUCUCGCUAUCUGGUUUUUCUGCCUAUCGUUCCCUCUGCGCAUGAGUAGUCAUACAAAACAAUUUUUGCCCUUGUUAUUUGUCCUGUGAAUGUUGGCAUUUGCUUCUUAUACAGUAGAAAUUAGCGUUGUGUAUUUGUCAGUGAUAUAAAACUUUCAAUAACUGUAAGUCUGUAUAAGUUGGGUAAGAAUAUCAUCCAAGCAAAGAAAAGAACCAAGAAGGUAGAUGAUAGAAAUGCAAGAGAAGAGGAGAGGACAAGAAAGGUGGUGUCUCUAGCAAACAGAAUGAGGGGUCCUGAAAUGCUUGCUAAUGGGGAAACCAAGACCUCUGCGGGGCAUUUAUUUUGGUAUUAAUGAGUCAGUCAAGAAAAAUAAGAAAGCUAUUAGGGUCAGUGUGCCAAGGGGCACACUAGAAUCAUUGAGAAAAAUCAUACAUAACUCCAAAUGCCAAAAUAGAGAAAAUGAAAAGAGAUUUGUGUUUGUGGCUUCUAAAACAGAGAAGGCUGAAUGGGCCUCUUUGCCUCAUCUGCCAGCGAGCCUAGCAAAAAAUGCAAAUUUAAAUUUUGAUCGGGAUGGAAAAUUGUAACAUUCAUCGUGAGUAACGCGUGGUUGGACAGGUUUAAGAAACACCAGGGUGUGUAUGAAAAGAAGUGGCUGGCAGAGGAAGCCGACCGUGAAGCUGCCGCGGACUGUCCUGGAUACCCGAAGAAACUGAUGGAGAAAAAUCGCUAUUUGCCUGAACAGGUCUUCAGUGCUGAUGAAACAGUCCUGUUCUAGAAGCGCAUGGCUACUUGCACAUUUAUUGCGAAGGAUGAGAAAAAGACCUGAGGCUUCGAGCCUGGAAAAGAUAAGCUCAAAGUUCUGCUUUGUUCCAGUGCUUCUGGUGACUUUCUGAUUAAACCGCUGUUGCUUCACAGAUUCCACAUUUCUUGCCCUCUUAAAAGAAAUUGCCAGAAACACUUUUCUGUGUACAUGAAGGGAAACCAUAAAAUAUGGAUCACUGAGAAAUUCCUGUUGGACUGGCUUUUGAAGUGUUUUGUUCCUGAGGUUAAACAGUAUUUAAACCCAAAACAUCUUGAAUUCGAGGUGUAACUGAUUCUGGACACGGCUCCCACUGACAAAAGCAUGAUCCUUGUAUUAAAGGCAGCUGUAUUCCCCCCAGUACAUCUCCACUCUUUNNNNNNNNNNNNNNNNNNNNNNNNNNNNNNNNNUUCCACCCUUGCACCUGGGAGUGUAUUUGAUUGACUACCUGGCAAAUCUUACGAGAGAGACACCAGAAAUUACCGUGGAAAUAGCUUGGUAAAAUUUCUCCAUUUGUAACACUUUGAUACUAGUAGGAGAAUCAGUGAGAGAGAGAAAAUGAUCAACCCUUAACGGAGACUGGCAGCAACUUUGGAAUGAAGUUGUAAGUGAUUCUGAAGCUUUCCUUCCAGUGCCUGAAGAAAUUGAAAAUUUGGUAGCAUCUGCAGAACAUACGGGUGGUGACGGAUUCGAAGACAGUGAAUUAAGUGACGUUGCUGAACUGUUAGAUUCUCACCCUCAGAAGAUGGUUGAGAAAUAUUUCAGAGAUGGGAUCCCAUCAAAAGUUGAUGAAAGAUGUCAGCGUAGAUUACCUUCUAGAACUCAAAGAAUGUGGAAGCACCCACUCCGCAAAUCAAGUUGUCAUGGUGAUUCACAGGAAAGAGAUCCUUCGCUGGAAUAUUUAUUGACCUACAGGCAAGGCUCAAAUGAUUACUCACAACCUUAUAAAGCAAUAAUAAGAAACCUCCAAACAAAGGCCAGUAAGUGUUUUCUCUGCUUGCCUCAACAGGGAGAAGAGGCUGUACCACCGGGCUGUGUCACUCAAGCCCUUGCCCAAAAAAGCAGGCACAAGGGCCUCACACUGAUGCUUGAACCUGGGGAUUCAGACUCUGGCAGCUCUGAUGAUGAGUGAUGAUCCGUGUGCCCAAGAAUGAGAGUGAAGCAGGACACUGAGUUUACUCAGAUCCAGACAAAACCCUGUCACUGCUGUGAUGAUCAGCAUUUUCACUGAUGCAUGAUGUUCCUCACUUUGAGAUCAGAGAGAAAUAGAAAUUAAUUGCCCUGUCAUCACUAUGACUAAUGUAAAAUUAGUAAAAUGCCACCCGAAGUCA